UAUGGUUGUGUGCCAGCCGCCGCGGUAAUACGUAGGUGGCGAGCGUUGUCCGGAAUUAUUGGGCGUAAAGAGCAUGUAGGCGGCUUAAUAAGUCGAGCGUGAAAAUGCGGGGCUCAACCCCGUAUGGCGCUGGAAACUGUUAGGCUUGAGUGCAGGAGAGGAAAGGGGAAUUCCCAGUGUAGCGGUGAAAUGCGUAGAUAUUGGGAGGAACACCAGUGGCGAAGGCGCCUUUCUGGACUGUGUCUGACGCUGAGAUGCGAAAGCCAGGGUAGCGAACGGG
rnacentral:rRNA from 1 species